rnacentral:rRNA from 1 species
UCCCGACGCUUAGCUCCCCUCACAAACCCCCUAAAUUCUACCCCCUGGGGAGGACGGCCCCAGGGUUAAACCUAAAAUAAAUUAAGGGGGCCCCGCCCAACCCGGUGGACCUUUUUUUUUUAUUUAUAAUGCAACGCGAAGAACUUUCCCUCUCCUUUACAUCCAUAGAACUUCGCAGAGAUAUUUUUUUUUCCUUCCGGAGCUACGACACCAGUUCGGCAUUGCUGUUCUCCCCCCCCUCCUCCGAAGUGUUGGGUUUAAUUCCCCAACGAGCGCAACCCCUAUCCUUUGUUGGCAGUCGUUAAGUCGGGCACUCAAAGGAGACUGCCAGUGAUAAACCGGAGGAAGGUGGGGAUGACGUCAAAUCAUCAUGGCCCUUACGAGUAGGGCUACACACGUGCUACAAUGGUGGAUACAAAGAGAAGCCACCUCGCGAGAGGGAGCGGACCCCAUAAAGUGCGUCUUAGUUCGGAUUGUAGUCUGCAACUCGCCUACAUGAAUCAAAAAUCGCUCGUAAUCGUAGAUCAGCAUGCCACGGUGAAUACGUUCCCAGGCCUGGUACACACACCCCGUCACCCCCGAGAGUGGGUAGCAAAAGAAGUAGUUGAGUUA